GAUGAAGAACGUAGCGAAAUGCGAUAAGUAGUGUGAAUUGCAGAAUUCAGUGAAUCAUCGAAUCUUUGAACGCACAUUGCGCCCCUUGGUAUUCCAUGGGGCAUGCCUGUUCGAGCGUCAUUUGUACCUUCAAGCUCUGCUUGGUGUUGGGUGUUUGUCUCGCCUCUGCGUGUAGACUCGCCUCAAAACAAUUGGCAGCCGGCGUAUUGAUUUCGGAGCGCAGUACAUCUCGCGCUUUGCACUCAUAACGACGACGUCCAAAAGUACUUUUUUACACUCUUGACCUCGGUUCAGGUAGGGAUACCCGCUGAACUUAAGCAUAUCAAUAAGCGGAGGA
rnacentral:misc_RNA from 1 species